AACGUAGGAGACAAACGUUAUCCGGAGUUACUGGGCGUAAAGGGCGUGUAGGUGGUUUCGUAAGUCUGGCGUGAAACUUUUCGGCUUAACCGGGAAAGGUCGUCGGAUACUGCGGAACUAGAGGACGGUAGAGGCGUGUGGAAUUCCGGGUGUAGUGGUGAAAUGCGUAGAGAUCCGGAGGAACACCAGUGGCGAAGGCGACACGCUGGGCCGUACCUGACACUGAGGAGCGAAAGCGUGGGGAGCAAACAGG
rnacentral:rRNA from 1 species